rnacentral:rRNA from 1 species
UACGGGGGGGGCAAGCGUUGUUCGGAAUCACUGGGCGUAAAGGGCGCGUAGGCGGCGCGAGUAGUCAACGGUGAAAGCCAGGGGCUCAACCCCGGGUCGGCCGUCGAUACUCUCGUGCUUGAGCACUGUAGAGGCAGGUGGAAUUCCGGGUGUAGCGGUGGAAUGCGUAGAGAUCCGGAAGAACACCGGUGGCGAAGGCGGCCUGCUGGGCAGUAGCUGACGCUGAGGCGCGACAGCGUGGGGAGCAAACAGG